CAUUUAUGUUCAAAGUCUGUUAAAGAUUGCUUCAAAUUGUUGAUGAAAAAAUAUUCUGCAGUCAUGAAGGACGCCAUAGUUUAUAAGAUGGAAAUGAUUAAACCUAGAAACUGAAAUACAUUUUUUCAUUCAGAAAGUAAUAAGCAAAGAAAUUCGCGUUGUGAAAUGGCCGAUAUGCGGCUUGUCUGAUACUGAAAUUGCAUUGUUUUGUACAAAAUUCGCUCUCGGCACUCUCGGUCAAGGUAUUGUAAAAAGCUUCCCUCUGGUG